rnacentral:rRNA from 1 species
GGCCGGUACAAAGGGUCGCAAUACCGCGAGGUGGAGCUAAUCCCAAAAAGCCGGUCUCAGUUCGGAUUGGAGUCUGCAACUCGACUCCAUGAAGUCGGAAUCGCUAGUAAUCGCGUAUCAGCGUGACCGCGGUCGAAUACGUUCCCGGGCCUU